rnacentral:rRNA from 1 species
AACUGCGAACGGCUCAUUAAAUCAGUUAUCGUUUAUUUGAUAGUUCCCUACUACUUGGAUAACCGUGGUAAUUCUAGAGCUAAUACAUGCACAUAACCGCGACUUCGGAAGCGGUGCGUUUAUUAGAUUAAAGACCAAUGCCCUUCGGGGCUGAGUGGUGAUUCAUGAUAACCUUGCGAAUCGCACGGCCUCGCGCCGGCGAUGGUUCAUUCAAAUUUCUGCCCUAUCAACUUUCGACUUUAGUGUAGUGGACUAAAGUGGUUGCAACGGGUAACGGAGGGUUAGGGCUCGACCCCGGAGAAGGAGCCUGAGAAACGGCUACUACAUCCAAGGAAGGCAGCAGGCGCGCAAAUUACCCAAUCCCGACACGGGGAGGUAGUGACAAUAAAUACUGGUACAGGGUCCUUUUGGGUCUUGUAACUGGAAUGAGUACAAUUUAAACCCCUUAACGAGGAACAAUUGGAGGGCAAGUCUGGUGCCAGCAGCCGCGGUAAUUCCAGCUCCAAUAGCGUAUAUUAAAGUUGUUGUGGUUAAAAAGCUCGUAGUUGAACCUGGGCCCCGCGCAGGCCGGUCAGCCUCACCGCUUGCACUGGCCCUGCCGGGGCUUUCACUAGGGGAUUCGCAUGUCCUUCGCUGGGCGUGCGCGGAACCUGGACUUUUACUGUGAAAAAAUUAGAGUGUUCAAAGCAGGCCUAUGCUCGAAUACAUUAGCAUGGAAUAAUGAAAUAGGACGCGUGGUUCUAUUUUGUUGGUUAUGGGA